GCGGUAGACUUGGCCACAACUCACGUACAUGCAUUUGGACACUUAGUCAGGAUGGCGCAGUUCCACUUGCUGGACCCUCACUACGACGAGCACCACAGGGGCCGUCUCACCGCAGAGGGAGAGGUGUUGCCCGUUCUGCGGGUCCGGACCCACGACCGGUUUCUGGAGGAGAUGAGGUACGAUGAGAGGUACACUCCUCUCCUACAGAGGGCUGGCUUGGACGUCGUAUCGUACCAGGUUCGCCGUGGGCUGCCCACUUUCAACCCAACGGCGUUGACGGCUCUGGUCGAUAG